rnacentral:rRNA from 1 species
UACGUAGGGUGCGAGCGUUAAUCGGAAUUACUGGGCGUAAAGCGUGCGCAGGCGGUAAUGUAAGACAGAUGUGAAAUCCCCGGGCUCAACCUGGGAACUGCGUUUGUGACUGCAUCACUCGAGUACGGCAGAGGGAGGUGGAAUUCCGCGUGUAGCAGUGAAAUGCGUAGAUAUGCGGAGGAACACCGAUGGCGAAGGCAGCCUCCUGGGCCAGUACUGACGCUCAUGCACGAAAGCGUGGGGAGCAAACAGG